GAAUCAACAUCUGAUUUACUUACUAAACUGCAAGUUAUCUUCUCGAAAUUAACUUUUGUUUACUGAAGGUUUGUAAAACAAAUAGGCCUAUCGUUACGGACUCACGGGGUAGUUAAAGAUUUUCUCAACCUGAAGCGGAAAUAUCGCAGACACAACUGUCCAAAGAAGCGCUGUCUACCUCUUCACUCCAGAGUGCCAUUCCCUUGAGGUUUCACGACUACACAACUAUCCUUAUGAUGCCUUAUCAAGCAUUAAGAAAACCAAAGACCAGCUUUGGGAAAUAAGAGAAGAGUUUCGUAUCCGACUCAGUGAGGACUGUUCUGUAACCAAGCCAUGCUAGUCACUUCUGUAAAGGGAGUGUAUUGUUUUAUGAAUGUUAGUGAUCAAGCCAUGGGGACAUUCACUGCAACCAAAGAUGCUGAAAACUCAUCGCUCAAUCAGUUUGAGUUUGCCAGAAUCAUUGUAAAUAGUAAGAACUGAAUGAAAUGUGUUUAUAUGUAAUUUAUGCACUUUAAAUGCUUUAUUAUUAUCUUGAUUAAAUAAAAAGUGUAUUGUCUUUUCAC
ensembl:lncRNA